CUCCGCCACUUUGAAUCCGGCUUUUAAAUGUCUUUUUGCAAGGCUUGCCAAGAGUGAACUUGUGUUUAGAGAGCCAGUGUUUAAUUUGCAGUUGAAAGAGACAACCCUGUCUUGAAUGUAGUCUUUAAAGAGAAGGGAAAGAGCAACAGGAAAGAGAAAGGAAAAGGCAGAAGUUGGAAAGGAAGAAACUCAAGGAAAUCAGUCCCUUUUGCUUUGCGUAGAUAUUGUGAAUGGCUUUAUUCUUGGAUUAUUAGUUUCUUAAAUGCCCUGCUUAGUGCCCGUCAUGGACCACUUGGCUUAUGAUUGUGGGUGGCUGGAAGUCAAAGUUGUAAACCAGGUCACUUGAACUCAGAAUUUAGCCAGUGGCUCUUUCACAUUCGUAAGCAAGAACACUGCUAGCCUCCCCACCAAGCUAGCAUAAGGACUGACCUUUCACGGAUCACAGGAAGGAAGUCUGGCUUCUCCAAAGAGAAGUCACAUUAAUUUUGACAUAAAAGACUUGCCAACAAAACUCUGGGCAGAGGCAGGAAAAUUCAACGCGGGAGAAAGCAGGGUGCAUGCCAAUGGUAGAAAUACCAGGAAGUUGAAGAACAACUAGGAGCUGCUAUGCGUCUGCUUCUGCUAUUGCUCCAGGAUUGCCACCUUCCCUGUGACCCACUGAGCCACUCAGAUUGACAGCCACAUAUUGCCAUUCUUUCCCGAUGUCUUUGAGACCCAGGAUGACCCAUGAGGAUCCACAGUUACUAUCAUCAGGACUGGAUAUUCUGGAUAUUCACAUUCAGUGUAAACAAAGGAAACAGGAACUCCUUAAAAGAACAUGUGGAACUAAGAAAGAUAAAUCUGGUCUAAGCAUGAGGAAAGGGGAAUGUUGGACAACAGGCUGCUUCUUUAAGCAAGAAGGAGAAAAGAAAUCUGGCAUCCUUUCCGUAUAUCAUUAAACAGAGGAUGAAGUAGUAUGCACAGACUCUUGAGUGCUAUUACGGCACGAGCCUUUGAAAGUGAUCAACAUCCACCACCAUGCUUUUUCUGCUUUGUGUUUUUUAAUGUUAAAUAUUUGAUGAGUAAUAGAUUCAAGAGAAAAUAGUUUAAUUUUGUAAAGGUGUAAUAUGUGUUAUGUUGCAUCCAUUGUCCAGCACCCUUAUGACCUUUUAAUACAAAUUUAAGUUACACAUGGGAAAAUGGAGACAACGUCUCUUUCUUUAUUUGCACAGAGCCAAUUUAAAUUUGUCAUUCUCAUUUCCUCAUUGCAGAGAGAAGGAGCUGGCCUUAUGAGGGUUAGCUUUGCAUUACUCAGAAUAUAAAGGCGAAUGUGGGGGUGUCACACCAAAUGCAGGUGAAGAGGAGGAUGCUAAUUAGGAACCAUCAUUCAAUGUCAUUUCUACAUUAGAUUAAGAAAAAUCCAUUAGAACACUCUAUCUUAUUUUUCUCGAGAGGUCAAGAUCCAAGCUACUAACCUCAUCAAAACAAACAGCCAUAAUCACUCUUGAUCCACUUCACCACAGUUCAAGCUAAAUUUAAGACUCAUUUGCCUUUCACCGACAUGUUUUCUAAAUGCAUUGUAAGCAUUUCUUCAUUUUGAAGAACUCACUAGCACAGCCCACAUACAUCUUUGCCCACAUGCAUUUUUGUCAAACUAAGACAGUUCAUUAGAAAUGUAAAGAUCCUCUCUUUGGGCCCAGAGACUAGUUUUCCUUCUACACACUGCCCAGAAUUCACUUGAGAAAAAGAUAUUUCAUGAAGUGAGUCUUUAGCUCUUGCUAACUUUUAGUUUGCAGAGUUAUGUGCAAUGAGGUGGGAGAAAAGGGUAGCUAAUUUGUUGUAGGAUAUAUUUCUAUCAAGGUAAUUUAGAAGAGUUUCUGAAUUUGGUGAUUUAUUCUUAAUAAUAUAAAUAUUUGCUGGAAAUACCAAAGAUCCAAGACAGGGGUUGAAAAAUGUUUUCUGUAAGGGGCUAGAUAGUAAAUAUUUUAGGUUUUGGUUGCCAUAUGGUCUUCAUUGAAACUACUCAACUCUGUCAUUAUAGCACAAAAGCAUACACAGAAAAUGCAUAAACAAAUGAGCAUGACUAUGUUCCGAAAAAACUUUAUUUACAAAAACAGGUGGCAGGCCACAUUUGCCCUAUAGGCUGUGGUUCGGAAACCCUUCCUCUAUCAUAUUAGGUAAUUUGUCAUUUUGCAAGAAUUUCACUCUUGUGCUCAGAUAAUUGUGCAUGAGCAGUGAGUAUAGAUGACUGCCCAGCAGUAACAUCAAAAUACGGCUUUGCUAUGCUGUAAUUUAGCUGGUCACACCACAUGGAGUAUCAAUUGUAGUACAAUAAGAACAAAGCUACCUUGUGAAAACUGACCUUGGAAUAAAAGGUAACUGCUUUAGCUGGUUAAGAAAGUA
rnacentral:lncRNA from 1 species